GAAACGGGGACCCAGCCUUUCUCCUCGGCGCUCCGCCCAGACGCUCGCGCUCCGCCCGCACCUGGCGACGAGCUCACAGGACCCUGGAGAUACAGAAUGGAAUGGCUUCCAGCCUCUGAAUGACACCUGGAUCCUGUAUAAAAACCACCUGCAGCAACACCAAAGGCUUAUGCAUCACUUCAUGUUCAGUUAAGGGACUUAAAACCAGGCAGACUACAUACAAGGAAGAAAGAUGAGGUUUUAUAGCCCAAGUUGGCAGGUGUGGGAGCUCUUUGGAGACUGUUCAGAGGUACUCUGACCCCCAUGGAUCUAAGGAAGACCUCUUGGGUGACCAUGGAAUCUUUGUGAUUGUCCUUGGACCUUGGUAUUCCUUGAACAUGCAUACCUUUCCCAUCGUGAGGGACAUGGAUCGGGCAGUGCGAGGGACCCCGUCUUCUGCAGCAGGAGGGAACAAAGAAGAGAAUUCAGGGAGAGACUUGUGGACCCGCAGUUUGCGCAGCAGCACGUCAGAAAUAUUGGGCAUCACAUCCAGGCCGCUCUUCGACUCUUCCUCCUCACUAGCUGGGGAGAGCUCGGAAGGGGGCCCUAGAGGGGGAAAAAAGCGUUGACUUUUUAUAAAAGGAUCGGCAUGCAAGAAGAUGGGAGCCGGCGCUGGGGAUUUCUGACACAAGCGGUAACAGAACGGGAAAGGAAGCAGAUGGAGUGGGCCAGCCAGCCGUGUGCAGAGGAGACGCGGAACGUCUCUGGAGAAGCAUGCUCUCCGUCCCACCCGCCAACAUGCUGACGCGAGGAGAAACUGCCCAGGCUGCCAUUCUGCCUUUCUUACCGAGGAAGAGGGGCGGGGGAGGCAGAACAAUGGCACUAUCAGGGCUGAUAACCUCAAACAAUGUGGAGGGAUUU